AGCGAACGCUGGCGGCAGGCCUAACACAUGCAAGUCGAACGAUCCUUCGGGAUAGUGGCGGACGGGUGAGUAACACGUGGGAACGUGCCCUUUGGUUCGGAAUAACUCAGGGAAACUUGAGCUAAUACCGGAUGAGCCCUUCGGGGGAAAGAUUUAUCGCCAUUGGAGUGGCCCGCGUUGGAUUAGCUAGUUGGUGGGGU
rnacentral:rRNA from 1 species